rnacentral:tRNA from 1 species
GCCCGGAUGGCGGAAACGGUAGACGCGAGGGACUUAAAAUCCCUUGGCCCGAAAGGGCCGUGCGGGUUCGACUCCCGCUCCGGGCA